GUGAGAAACCGUCCAGCCGGCACAUUGAGCUGCCCGCCGCCUCGCUCCCUAAGCCGCGCAACCGCCUCGAUCGCACGCUCAAACGCCUGCGUGUUGAUCGUUCUCCCAUCCCCAACCCCGCCGAAAUCCGUCAGGUUGAACGCUACCGGCCGGAGCAUCGGAGCAGCCGAAUUCCCCGUAGCGCCUCGCCAGAGAAACCCUAGACCGAUUGCCCCAACCGAACUCCGCUGCCAGAGAAACAGUGAGCCAAAAACGGUGAUCCA
rnacentral:misc_RNA from 1 species